UUGACCUCAAAUCGGGUGAGACUACCCGCUGAACUUAAGCAUAUCAAUAAGCGGAGGA
rnacentral:rRNA from 36 species